rnacentral:ncRNA from 1 species
CAAUAUAUUUCAACUUCGUUUGAAGUACGGUCUCUUUUUGCUAAGGGUCGCCGUUCACGCGGCGCGGCCAAGCCCGGACCAGCGUCGGGACCUUCCUGUGGAAAGCCUCAGCUGCGCGGCGUCCGAGGGCUUCGUGCCCAAAGUGCUAUGCUUCGGCCGGCAAAAAACAGUCAACUCAGAACUGGCACGGACCGGGGGAAUCCGACUGUCUAAUUAAAACAAAGCAUUGCGAUGGCCGCUGGUCGGUGUUGACGCAAUGUGAUUUCUGCCCAGUGCUCUGAAUGUCAACGUGAAGAGAUUCAUCAAAGCGCGGGUAAACGGCGGGAGUAACUAUGACUCUCUUGUGGCAGCCAAAUGCCUCGUCAUCUAAUUAGUGACGCGCAUGAAUGGAUUAACGAGAUUCCCACUA